GACAGAGGGGGCAAGCGUUGCUCGGAAUCACUGGGCGUAAAGGGCGCGUAGGCGGGAUGGCAAGUCAGUCGUGAAAUCUCUCGGCUCAACCGAGAAACGUCGGCUGAUACUGCCGUUCUUGAGGGAUGCAGAGGAGACUGGAAUUCCCGGUGUAGCGGUGAAAUGCGCAGAUAUCAGGAGGAACACCGGUGGCGAAGGCGGGUCUCUGGGCCGUAACUGACGCUGAGGAGCGAAAGCAUGGGGAGCGAACAGG
rnacentral:rRNA from 1 species